UCCNUNGNUCCCANUGAGGAAGUAAAAGUCGUAACAAGGUUUCCGUAGGUGAACCUGCGGAAGGAUCAUUACCAAAAGAUAAUCUUUCAACAUCUGAAAGAUCUUACCUUUGUGCUGGCUUUGACAGUUUUGUACUUUUGGGGCUUUAAAAUGGUUCAGUUAGUAAAAGAAGGGGAGUAAUCCCUUUUUCAUUGCUGCUGGAUCGGCCCCAAAAAAUCAUAUCAUCCUUAUAAUUUUUUCUGAUUAAUUAACACAUGAUUUUAAUAAUCUGUUUAAAACAACUUUCAACAACGGAUCUCUUGGUUCUCGCAUCGAUGAAGAACGCAGCGAAAUGCGAUACGUAAUGUGAAUUGCAGAAUUCAGUGAAUCAUCGAAUCUUUGAACGCACAUUGCACUCCUUGGUAUUCCGAGGAGUAUGCCUGUUUCAGUAUCAUGAGCACUCUCACAACUAACCUUUGGGUGAAAUUGUGGAAUUGGAAUGCGCUGAUUUUAAUAACCAGCCCUUCUAAAAUCUAUUUCAUGACUGUCACCUAACACAGCAGUUUGGCCUAAUAGUUUUGACAUUGAUUUGUCAAAUCUUUGGCUUACAUUUGCUUCAGGUUGUCAGUUUUGAUAAUACAGAAAACUCAUUCAAAUUUUGAUCUGAAAUCAGGUAGGGCUACCCGCUGAACUUAAGCAUAUCAUANNCCGGNAGGAAA
rnacentral:rRNA from 1 species